CCAUCGUGCAGGAGAAUGCAAAUUGUCUGCCAGUAUUUUCUGAUAACAUACUGCAGUCAUCUUGCCAUCAAUUUUCACAAGAUUCUCCAUGCCUUUAGAGCUCACCCCACCCUCCCCCCAAAAACAUCAAUGAGCCACCACCAUGCUUCACAGUGGGGAUGGUAUUCUUUUCACUAUAGGCCUUGUUGACCCCUCUUCAAACAUAGCGCUUAUGGUUGUGACCAUAAAGCUCUAUUUUGGUCUUGUCACUCCAAAUCACAGUGUGCCAGAAGCUGUGUGUCAAGGUGUUGUCGGGCAUAUUGUAAUCGGGCGUUGUGUCAAUGGCACAGUAAAGGCUUCUUUCUGGCAACUCGAUCACGUAGCUCAUUGUUGUUCAAUUAUCGUCGUAUUGGGCUCCUUGAAACAACCACACCGUCUUUUUCCAGAGCUGCCUGUAUUUCUCCUGAGGUUACCUGUGGGUUUUUCUUGUAUCCCGAACAAUUCUUCUGGCAGUUGUGGCUGAGAUUUUUUUUGGCUUGGUAUCGAGAGAUCCCCGAAUUUUCCACUUCUUAAUAAGUGAUUGAACAGUACCGACUGGCAUUUCAAGGCUUUGGAUAUAUUUUUAUAUCGUUUUACAUCUUUAUAAAGUUCCAUUACCUUGUUACACAGAUCUUUUGACAGUUCUUUUCUGCUCCCAUGGCUCAGUAUCUAGCCUGCUCAGUGCAUCCACAUGAGCGCUAACAAACUCAUUGACUAUUCAUACAAAGACACUAAUUGCAAUUUAAAAAGCCACAUUCAAGGCCAAACAUUCAAGGGUAUGUAAACUUUUGAUCAGGGUCAUUUGGGUGAUUUCUGUCAUCAUUAUGAUUUAAAAAGAAGUCAAACAACUAUGUGAUAAUAAAUGACUUAAUAUGAUCACUGUCCUUCAAUAAAAUAUUUUUUUUUGCAUGAUCAGUCAGAUUUUUGAAAUUAAUGCCAAAAUUUCACAGUUUCUGCCAGAGUAAGCAAACUUGAGCACAGAUCUAACUAUACCUUGGAUUUAAUUAUAGUUUAAGGUGGUAAUAAAUGAAUAUUUUAUACACAGUGUUUGCACUUUACGGUUACAUAGUCUAAAAAGAGACCUGUGUCCAUCAAGUUCAGCCUUCCUCGCAUCUGUUUUUUGCUGUUGAUCCAAAAUAUGACCAAAGCACUUCCAAUUUCGCAACAAACUAGGAAACAAAUUCCUUCCUGAUCCCAUAAUGGCUGUCAGAUUUAUCUUUGGAUCGAGGAGCUCUAACCCUACAGUUUAAAAAUGAUAUCCUUUAAAAAAUUUUUAACCCCAAGUAUGAAUCCAAUUGCAGUUUAAACAUCUG